rnacentral:rRNA from 1 species
UACGUAGGGUCCGAGCGUUGUCCGGAAUUAUUGGGCGUAAAGGGCUCGUAGGCGGUCUGUUGCGUCAGGAGUGAAAACUCGGGGCUUAACCCCGAGCCUGCUUCUGAUACGGGCAGACUAGAGGUAUGCAGGGGAGAACGGAAUUCCUGGUGUAGCGGUGAAAUGCGCAGAUAUCAGGAGGAACACCGGUGGCGAAGGCGACUACCUGGCCUGUUCUUGACGCUGAGGCGCGAAAGCUAGGGGAGCAAACGGG